GCGGGAGUGGUUCAAUAGUAGAACGCGGCGUUGCCAACGCUGAGACGACGGAGCAUAACCGUUCUCCCGCUCCA
rnacentral:tRNA from 1 species